rnacentral:rRNA from 1 species
GCGGCAGUUCGUGAGCUUCGUGAUAUCAUGAGGCAACUUGCCCCCUCUAUCGUUUGUAUUCUCGAAACCCAAAUAUAGGGUACUCGUGUUGAGAAUUUAGUAGGCACUUUAGGCUUCAAUAAAAAAUUUGUUGUAGGAAGUUCUGGUAGAAGUGGUGGUUUAGGAAUUUUCUGGAAUGAGGAAAUAAAACCCGAAAUUCUUGGUUAUUCAGAGUAUCAUAUUGAUGUGAUGGUGGAUGAGCUGACACAAACACAAACUCGUAUAACCUUUGUCUAUGGUGAAGCUCAAGUUCCAGAAAGAUAUAAAAUGUGGGAUAUGCUCUGGGGAAUUGCAGGAACGGGGAACGGCCCAUGGAUGGUGAUACGUGACUUUAAUGAGGUCUUGCAUGCACACGAACACGAUGGUGUAGGCAACCGGAGCCAGGCUCAAAUGGACGGGUUUCGGGACGAUCUUGACACAUGUGGUCUCUCUGAUAUUGUGUAUACAGGAACUGAUUGGACAUUUGAGAAAAAAGUAGCAGGAGGUGCAUUCACAAGGGUGAGACUGGAUGGAUGUGUUGCAAAUCCAGCGUGGACGCUAGCCUUUCCAGAUGCAGUGCUAGAACACAAGACAGCGGCGAGUUCCGAUCACGUACCAUUACUCCUCAGCCUCAACGGUGUGCAUGCAUGA